rnacentral:rRNA from 1 species
CUGCCCCCGGGCGUGUUCGCCACCNNNCUAUACNUGCAGUCGAGCGGACAGAAGGGAGCUUGCUCCCGGAUGUUAGCGGCGGACGGGUGAGUAACACGUGGGUAACCUGCCUGUAAGACUGGGAUAACUCCGGGAAACCGGAGCUAAUACCGGAUAGUUCCUUGAACCGCAGGGUUCAAGGAUGAAAGACGGUUUCGGCUGUCACUUACAGAUGGACCCGCGGCGCAUUAGCUAGUUGGUGGGGUAAUGGCUCACCAAGGCGACGAUGCGUAGCCGACCUGAGAGGGUGAUCGGCCACACUGGGACUGAAGACACGGCCCAGACUCCUACGGGAGGCAGCAGUAGGGAAUCUUCCGCAAUGGACGAAAGUCUGACGGAGCAACGCCGCGUGAGUGAUGAAGGUUUUCGGAUCGUAAAGCUCUGUUGUUAGGGAAGAACAAGGUGCGAGAGUAACUGCUCGCACCUUGACGGUACCUAACCAGAAAGCCACGCGGCUAACUACGUGCCAGCAGCCGCGGUAAUACGGUAGGUGGCAAGCGUUGUCCGAGAAUUAUUGGGCGUAAAGGGGCUCGCAGGCGGUU